rnacentral:rRNA from 1 species
AUUGAACGCUGGCGGCAUGCUUUACACAUGCAAGUCGAACGGUAACAGGGUGCUUGCACCGCUGACGAGUGGCGAACGGGUGAGUAAUGCGUCGGAACGUGCCGAGUAGUGGGGGAUAACGCAGCGAAAGUUGUGCUAAUACCGCAUACGUACUGAGGUAGAAAGUGGGGGACCUUCGGGCCUCACGCUAUUCGAGCGGCCGACGUCUGGGUUAGCUAGUAGGUGAGGUAAGAGCUCACCUAGGCGACGAUCAGUAGCGGGUCUGAGAGGAUGAGACGCCAGACUGGGAAUGAGACACGGCCCAGACUCCUACGGGAGGCAGCAGUGGGGAAUUUUGGACAAUGGGCGCAAGCCUGAUUCAGCCAUGCCGCGUGUCUGAAGAAGGCCUUCGGGUUGUAAAGGACUUUUGUCAGGGAGGAAAUCCUAGUGGCUAAUAACUACUGGGGAUGACAGUACCUGAAGAAUAAGCACCGGCUAACUACGUGCCAGCAGCCGCCGUAAUAC